rnacentral:rRNA from 1 species
AGAGUUUGAUCCUGGCUCAGGAUGAACGCUAGCGGCAGGCUUAAUACGAUGCAGGGCGAGGGGGCAGCAAUGUCACCGUCGUACGGGUGCGUAACGCGUAUGCAACCUACCUUUUACUGGGGGAUAGCCCGGGGAAACCCGGAUUAAUACCGCAUGACACAUUUGUGUAGCAUUACAUGAUUUGUUAAAGAUUUAUUGGUAAGAGAUGGGCAUGCGUUCGAUUAGCUAGUUGGCAGGGUAACGGCCUACCAAGGCGACGAUCGAUAGGGGAGCUGAGAGGUUGAUCCCCCCACACGGGCACUGAGAUACGGGCCCGACUCCUACGGGAGGCAGCAGUAGGGAAUAUUGGGCAAUGGAUGCAAGUCUGACCCAGCCAUGCCGCGUGCCGGAUGAAGGCCCUCAGGGUUGUAAACGGCUUUUAUUCGGGAAGAAGAGCGAGGAUGCGUCCUUGUGUGACGGUACCGAAUGAAUAAGCACCGGCUAACUCCGUG